CCUACGGGAGGCAUCAGUAGGGAAUCUUCCACAAUGGACGAAAGUCUGAUGGAGUAACGCCGCGUGAGUGAAGAAGGGUUUCGGCUCGUAAAGCUCUGUUGGUAGUGAAGAAAGAUAGAGGUAGUAACUGGCCUUGAUUUGACGGUAAUUACUUAGAAAGUCACGGCUAACUACGUGCGAGCAGCCGCGGUAAUACGUAGGUGGCAAGCGUUGUCCGGAUUUAUUGGGCGUAAAGCGCGUGCAGGCGGUUCAAUAAGUCUGAUGUGAAAGCAUUCGGCUCAACCGGAGAAUUGCAUCAGAAACUGUUGAAAUUGAGUGCAGAAGAGGAGAGUGGAACUCCAUGUGUAGCGGUGGAAUGCGUAGAUAUAUGGAAGAACACCAGUGGCGAAGGCGGCUCUCUGGUCUGCAACUGACGCUGAGGCUCGAAAGCAUGGGUAGCGAACAGGAUUAGAUACCCCAGUAGUC
rnacentral:rRNA from 1 species